AGCGUCUCGCCGCGCCUCCGCCGGUGAGUGCUCGAGGCCUCGAGCUGUGUUUCCUAGUUCCUGCUGCGUGUCGUCGUCGUCCGCCAUCACUGCACCCAACCCAACGCCUCGUUUGCUCGCGUCUCGCCUCUGUCCUCCGUCUCUGCUCGCCUCAGCUGCUCGCUUCUCGCCGCGCCUCCCUCCGCCAGUGAGUGCUCGAGCUGUGCGUGGUUGUUGCUUCUCGUCGUCCGUGGGUGUUGCUGCCUGCACUGCACUGCUUGUCUGCCUGCACUGCUCGAUUCUGCCGCUGCAACAACAGUCAACAUGAACUCAUUUGCAUCAUUUUAGGAAACAAUCAAAUCAAAUAUACCACAUCUGGCGCCGGGGUUGUUAGCUGCAUGAGUUGCCAUGGACAUAUUGUCCGACAUGGCCAACACCUCCUCAAGCUUGUUGAAUCGUGUUCCAUCACUUGCACCCUUGAUGCAACUAAAUGCCUCCAUGCACUCUCUAUCACUAUGGGUCCCAUUCCAAACCAAUCCAUCUUCGUCCACAAUAAUGUCAUUUCUCAUUACUUAUCCCUUGGCGAGUUUCUUCAUGCACGUCGAGUGUUUGAUAUAUUGCCCCAAAGAACGGUAGUUUCUUACAACAUGCUCAUCCAUGCUUAUAGUCGCCGUGGUGAUGUGAGUGAUGCUUGGAGCCUGCUCUGCCACAUGAGGGGUUCUGACUUUUCUCCAACACAAUAUACUUUGAGUGGGUUACUAUCUUGUGAAUUGUUGAGCAUUUGUCAGGGUAUGCAGUUGCAGGCUUUGAGCAUCAAGAGUGGACUUUUUGAUGCUGAUGCUUUUGUGAGUACUGCUUUGUUGGGUUUGUUUGGGAGGCAUGGAUGUUUGGAUGAAGCUUUUAUUGCAUUUGAAGAUAUGGUCCAUAAGAGCCUGGUGACUUGGAAUAUAAUGCUAUUGAUUCUGGCACGUAAUGGAUUUGUGGGAGACUGCCAGAAUUUGUUUCGUGAUCUUGUGAGGACAGGGGUUGCUUUGUCAGAAGGUUCCUUUGUGGCUGUUUUGUCUGGACUUGUUGAUCCUGAGCAGGAUUUGGAAUAUAGUGCAAUGAUUCAUGGUUUGAUGACGAAAUGUGGGUUUGAUGGUGACAUUGCUUUGGUUAAUUGUCUGAUUAACGUGUAUGUGAAAUGCAAAGCCAUGUUCUCGGCACAAAGAUUGUUUCAAGAAGUUCCGGCUGAAAAUGUUGUGUCUUGGAAUACGAUUAUUGACGCAUUGGUGAAAAGUGGGAGACCUCAAGUGGCAUUGGAGAUGUUUGUGAAUAUGUCUAGAAGGGGAUUGAUGCCUAGUCAGGCCACAUUUGUAGCUGUUAUAGACAUGUGUGCUAGUUUGAAGAACUUUGUUUGUGGAGAAUCUAUCCAUGCUAAGGUAAUCAGGAAUGGUUUCGAAUCUGAUGUUGUUGUAGGUACUGCAUUGGUAGACUUUUAUGCUAAAUGUGAUAACAUGAUGUGUUCCCAUAAAUGUUUUAAUCAAAUAGAAGAGAAGAAUAUUGUGUCUUGGAAUGCUUUGAUGGUGGGUUACUCGAAUGAAUGCUCUUCCAUGCCGAUUAUGUUACUACGACAAAUGCUACAAUUAGGUCACUUAGUUAAUGAGUUUUCCUUUUCUGCUUCUCUUAAGUCAUCAUCAGUAUUGAACACGCGUCAGCUCCAUGGUUUGCUUAUAAAAAUGGGGUAUGAAAGUCAUGAAUAUGUAUUAAGCUCCCUUGUUAUGGCUUACAGUAGAAACGGUCUCAUAAUCGAAGCACUUUCUUUUGUCAAGGAAGUCAGUAAUUCACUUCCUCUAGUCCCCUCAAACAUCAUUGCCGGGAUCUAUAACAGGACUUGCCAAUACUAUGAAACGGUAAAGUUCCUUUCUUUGCUCGAAAGCCCUGAUACUGUAUCCUGGAACCUUGUCAUUUCAGCUUGUGCUCGGAGCAAUAAUUAUAAUGAGGUUUUGGAACUUUUCAACCAUAUGCAUGUUGCACACAUACAACCGGAUAAUUACACAUUUAUGAGUAUAUUAUGCGUGUGCACCAAGCUUUGUCGUCUUGAUCUGGGAAGUUCUCUUCAUGGACUUAUUAUGAAGACUAACCUCUAUAACUGGGACACUUAUAUCUGCAAUGCACUAAUUGACAUGUAUGGAAAGUGUGGAAACAUUGAUAGUUCGGUAAAAGUUUUUGAAGAAAUGACUGACAAAAAUAUUAUUACAUGGACGGCUUUAAUUACUGCCUUCGGGCUGAAUGGUUAUCCACAUGAAGCGCUAAAGAGAUUCAAAAAUAUGGAAUCAUUCAGGUUGAAGCCGGAUGCAUUAGCUCUGAGAGCAGUGCUCUCUGCUUGCAGAUAUGGUGGAUUGGUAAGCGAGGCGAUGGAAAUUUUCAAACAGAUGGGAACUGCUUAUGGGAUUCAGCCAGAACUAGAUCAUUACCAUUGUAUAGUAGACCUCCUGGCUAAACGUGGAGAAAUUGAAGAAGCUGAGAAAAUCAUCACUAGCAUGCCUUUUCCACCAAAUGCGAAUAUUUGGCGUAGCUUCCUUGAAGGCUCCAAGAGGCAAACAGUAAAAUCUAAUUGUAUUUUGGAAGCAAUGCACUGAAGAUGUUUCACAAUGUGGUUUUCCAAGCACUGGUAUAUUUCCUGAUAGACCAAUUAUUAACGAAUUUCCAUGAGAUUUAAUCCAAAUGCAAGGUAGGGACUUCUUUCAUGGGACAAUUGAAAUGUCCUUGUGUCUGAAAUCUCCAUCAUAGCUAGGUAAAACCUUCUCAUUCAACCAAUUUUCAUGCAUAGAAGUAUUCCUCAUAUCUGACUUUAUAUUGCAGCUUGCAAUACCAGGAUAUUAAUUAAUGAGAUCCUUAAGAACCUUUGUUUCAAUGUGAAAUCAACUCAGCCCUCAGAUUAUAAGGGGAAAAAAGUGUCGUUAUAUGUAAAAUUUGAAUACUCCAUAUCUCUUAUGUUAAUUAAUGUGCAUUGAGAGAAGCAAGAAAUACACUCAACCAGAACAUCAUACUCACUCUUUGUUUCUUGUAUUGUGCAAUCAUCUAGUUUAUGGGGAAGCAGAAUUUUUUGGUAUUGUUACUACUAGUAAAUACAGGUAAAAUAAUGGUCUGAGAUUAAUCUGGUGCUGCAUUCAUCAAUGAUCUCCACAUAAUCUUGUGCCUACACUCUAUUAAUCUCACGGUUAAUAUUUUUAAUUUAGAUAUAUACAUUUUUUUUGUAUACAUAGUGCAAAAUAACUUUAUACUAUUUUAUUUGUAUGAAUUUUAGAGUAGUUGAUGAUGUGAAUGAAAUAUGCUGAUAUAACAAUACAAAAUUGGAUGUUUGUAUAGAAGUAUUUUUAUAUCA